rnacentral:tRNA from 1 species
GCCGGAGUGGAGGAACUGGCAGACUCGCGAGACUCAAAAUCUCGUGCCCCUCAGGGCGUGUGGGUUCGAAUCCCACCUCCGGCA